UACGGGGGGUGCGAGCGUUGAUCGGAAUAACUGGGCGUAAAGGGCACGCAGGCGGACUUUUAAGUGAGGUGUGAAAUCCCCGGGCUUAACCUGGGAAUUUCAUUUCAUACUGGGAGACUUGAGUACUUUAGGGAGGGGUAGAAUUCCACGUGUAGCGGUGAAAUGCGUAGAGAUGUGGAGGAAUACCGAGGGCGAAGGCAGCCCCUUGGGAAUGUACUGACGCUCAUGUGCGAAAGCGUGGGGAGCAAACAGG
rnacentral:rRNA from 1 species